UCAUUUAUGAUGAUUUAAAAUAUCGUAAAUACAUAACUUAUACAUAUACACUAGAAACAUACAUAAACUUUUUAAAAAAGAAACGUGCGAUAUCUCUUCUUCCUCAUAGCCUAGCCUGCUAGCCAAGUUAUGCUCUAUCACUAUGUAAUUCUCAUCUUUCAUGGCUUUUGACUCAACUCAAACAGGUAUCCAAUAGUAAUUCUCUCUUCAUACGCCACUCAAAUAGGAGUGCAAAGCAAGGAGUUAUUUGUGGAAAUCUUUGUGAGGAUCAAACCAAAGUUCACAAGCAUCAAAUUGAAAGCUCGAUUCAGAAAUGUAGCUCGGAUACGCAAAGAGUAUGUCUGAAAUUCCAAAUGAAGAAGACAGGAAAGAGCAGAGGAGAGAGAGGGGUCGAAGAAAAACUUGAGCAAGCAUGGAAAGAGAAAGUGGAGAUGAGCUUAAUAAAAAAGAUGAUGGCCUUGUUUAGUUGUUAGAGUUUAGAGUUUGAUGUUAGUGUUUUAACUUUUUGUGUACCUGAUUUGACGACUUUUUUUAUAGAUGUGUUUGGUAACAAUUAACUAAUUGUUAAUAGCUUAGUGUUAUUUGUUUGUGUGAAAAGACAUUUAUAGACAUUUUAAUACACAUGUGUAGUAUUAUUUUUA